UCCCUGGUAGUCCAGUGGCUAAGAUCCUGAGCUCUCAGUGCAGGGGCCCAGGUUCAAUUCUUGGUCAGGGAA
rnacentral:tRNA from 1 species